rnacentral:tRNA from 1 species
UUGGUGGCUGAUAAUAAGUGUUAGGCUGUAAACCUAAAGAUGUGAAAACCCAAAUAA